GUACGCUCAAGCAAUCAAGAUGCAGUACCGUUAAAGAAAGUGGCAAUCGGCUUGUAUGCCAAUAUAAUUAAUGAAAGAAACCUGGGCUCAAUUCAGAGGUGUUAAAUAAAGAAGGAAGUAUCACUUUUGGGCUGAUGCAAAACCUCAAAACAAGCCUUGAAGCAAUGCUCCAAGACUGCAACAUGAUGGAACAACAGGGAGAAGUCCUAUUCAUGGCCAGCAUUGGCUGGAGCAGAUUGGACAGAUUAGGUGUGAUGGAAAAUCAGUUAAAACUCAUGUUAACUGAGAAUAACUGUGGACAGAAGAAAGCAACUGUUGCCUGUCAGGAACACAUCAACUAUUGUGAGCUGCAAUUUUACAUCCAUUUAUCUAGGAGAAAAAUCCACUGCACUCAGAUAGACUUACCUUUGAGUAAGCAUAUAUAAGAAUGAAUUGUGAGUCUGAAUUCAUCUCAUAUCUUUAUUACCCAGCAAGUACAUUUGAUCCAUUUAACCACCUUCACAAAUUUUC